AGGGUUUGAUCAUGGCUCAGAACGUACGCUGGCGGCACGCCUUAUACAUGCAAGUCGAACGAAGUAGCAAUACUUAGUGGCAGACGGGUGAGUAACAUGUAGGUAUCUUCCCUUUGGUGAGGAAUAACACGAGGAAACUUGUGCUAAUACCUCAUAAGUCUUAACGGAGAAAGCUUUAUGCGCCGAAGGAUGAGCCUGCACUUGAUUAGUUUGUUGGUGGGGUAAUGGCCUACCAAGACCUUGAUCAAUAGCUGAUCUGAGAGGAUGAUCAGCCACAUUGGGACUGAGACACGGCCCAGACUCCUACGGGAGGAAGCAGUAGGGAAUAUUGCACAAUGGAGGAAACUCUGAUGCAGCGAUGCCGCGUGAGUGAAGAAGGCCUUUGGGUUGUAAAGCUCUUUCGUCGGGGAAGAAAAUGACUGUACCCGAAUAAGAAGGUCCGGCUAACUUCGUGCCAGCAGCCGCGGUAAUACGAAGGGACCUAGCGUAGUUCGGAAUUACUGGGCUUAAAGAGUUCGUAGGUUGUUAAAAAAGUUGGUGGUGAAAUCCCAGAGCUUAACUCUGGAACUGCCAUCAAAACUUUUUAGCUAGAGUAUGAUAGAGGAAAGCAGAAUUUCUAGUGUAGAGGUGAAAUUCGUAGAUAUUAGAAAGAAUACCAAUUGCGAAGGCAGCUUUCUGGGUCAUUACUGACACUGAGGAACGAAAGCAUGGGUAGCGAAGAGGAUUAGAUACCCUCGUAGUCCAUGCCGUAAACGAUGUGUGUUAGACGUUGGAAAUUUAUUUUCAGUGUCGCAGCGAAAGCAUUAAACACACCGCCUGGGGAGUACGACCGCAAGGUUAAAACUCAAUGAAUUGACGGGGACCCGCACAAGUAGUGGAGCAUGUGGUUUAAUUCGAAGAUACGCGCAGAACCUUACCAACACUUGACAUGUUCGUCGCGACUUUAAGAGAUUAAAGUUUUCGGUUCGGCCGGACGAAACACAGGUGCUGCAUGGCUGUCGUCAGCUCGUGUCGUGAGAUGUUGGGUUAAGUCCCGCAACGAGCGCAACCCUCACUUUUAGUUGCCAUCAUUUAGUUGGGCACUUUAAAAGAACUGCCAGUGAUAAGCUGGAGGAAGGUGGGGAUGACGUCAAGUCCUCAUGGCCCUUACGUGUUGGGCUACACACGUGCUACAAUGGCAUUUACAAUAGGAAGCGAGAUGGCGACGUUGAGCAAAUCCUAAAAAAAUGCCUCAGUUCGGAUUGUACUCUGCAACUCGAGUACAUGAAGCUGGAAUUACUAGUAAUCGCGGAUCAGCGCGCCGCGGUGAAUACGUUCCCGGGUCUUGUACACACCGCCCGUCACACCAUGGGAGUUGGUUCUACCUUAAGGCAAGGUUUAAAACCCUUGACCACGGUAUAGUCAGCGACUGGGGUGAAGUCGUAACAAGGUAGCCGUA
rnacentral:rRNA from 1 species